rnacentral:lncRNA from 1 species
CUGACCCAGGCAGUGGUGUCCUGACCCAGGCAGUGGGGCCCUGACCCAGGCAGUGGUGUCCUGACCCAGGCAGUGGUGUCCUGAUCCAGGCAGUGGGGCCCUGAUCCAGGCAGUGGUGCCCUGAUCCAGGCAGUGGGGCCCUGAUCCAGGCAGUGGUAUCCUGAUCCAGGCAGUGGUGUCCUGACCCAGGCAGUGGUGUCCUGAUCCAGGCAGUGGGGCCCUGACCCAGGCAGUGGGGCCCUGACCCAGGCAGUGGGGCCCUGACCCAGGCAGUGGGGCCCUGACCCAGGCAGUGGUGUCCUG